ACCCCGGCGGAGUGUCUCUUCUAACCCUAAGUUAAACUAGCUCCCUGUACUCGGCGUUUGCUGUUUUUUGUCUGGCUUUCAGGAAACUACAGGGAGUCUUGAGAGUCUCGGUUCACGGACCAAAAAAGCCACGAUAAUCGCUCCGUCGUGUUCGGUCCCCCCUCAAAGCACCGCGAGCCCGGUUGCGGUCAGUCUGGCUGCCGCGAAGAGUUGGUCUCUGCCGCUCCGGUGUCUUCGUGUCGGGAUCACCGAGGACCGAACAGAGCAAAACUGAGCCUGGUGACUCUACCGGUUCUCCCAGUGUUCUGGUAGGAAUGUCCAAGCUCAAACACCC
ensembl:misc_RNA Telomerase-vert Vertebrate telomerase RNA